rnacentral:rRNA from 1 species
CGUCAAGUCAUCAUGCCCCUUAUGUCCUGGGCUGCACACGUGCUACAAUGGCCGGUACAAUGGGCUGCGAUGGGGUGACCCGGAGCGAAUCCCAUAAAGCCGGCCCCAGUUCGGAUCGAAGGCUGCAACUCGCCUUCGUGAAGUCGGAGUUGCUAGUAAUCGCGGAUCAGCAUGCCGCGGUGAAUACGUUCCCGGGCCUU